rnacentral:rRNA from 1 species
AUGGGUGUACAGGAUCAAAAAAGGGCAGAUGGCUCCAUUGACAGGUAUAAGGCACGUCUAGUUGCAAAGGGCUUUAAGCAACGUUAUGGCAUUGACUAUGAGGACACGUUCAGUCCCGUUGUGAAAGCUGCAACUAUCAGACUUGUGCUAGCUAUUAUUGUGUCCAGAGGAUGGAGCCUAAGGCAGCUAGAUGUACAGAACGCGUUUCUGCAUGGUGUUCUGGAAGAGGAAGUGUUUAUGAGACAGCCACCUGGGUAUGAGAGUAAGAAAUUACCACAUUAUGUUUGCAAGCUUGAUAAAGCACUUUAUGGUUUAAAGCAAGCACCCAGAGCAUGGUAUUCCAGACUAAGCUUACAAUUGAAAUAUCUUGGCUUUAUUGCUUCCAAGGCUGAUACGUCCUUGUUUAUUUAUAACAAGGCAGGAGUGGUCAUUUUUGUACUCAUAUAUGUGGAUGAUAUCAUAGUUGCAAGUUCCUCACAAAAUGCCACUAUUGCUUUUUUUCAUGAUUUGGGCUCAGAGUUUGCCUUGAAAGAUCUAGGUGAUUUACAUUUCUUUCUAGGCAUUGAAAUCAAGAAGACUCAAGAUGGCAUUGUGCUAAGUCAGGAAAAAUAUGUCAAUGAGCUUCUGUCUCGGAUGGGAAUGAAGAAUUGCAAGCCAGUUCUUACACCUUUAUCUUCCUCAGAAAAAUUCUCUGCAUAUGAAGGUGAGCCACUUCAAGAGGAGGAAAGCACAAGGUAUAGAAGUACUGUGGGAGCAUUGCAAUAUUUAACUCUCACACGUCCAGAUAUUUCAUUUGCUGUCAACAAAGUUUGUCAAUACCUUCAUGCACCUACUUCUGCACAUUGGGCAGUUGUCAAGAGAACUGUGAGAUAUGUGAAGCACACUGUGGGAAUAGGACUUAACUUCAGAAGGUCUAAUUCCUCUCUUGUUAGUGCAUUCUCUGAUGCUGACUGGGCAGCAUGUAGUGAUGACAGGAGAUCAACUGGAGGUUUUGCAGUGUUCUUUGGAUCCAAUCUUAUCUCCUGGAGUGCUAGAAAGCAAGCCACUGUGUCACGUUCAAGCACAGAAGCAGAGUACAAGUCCUUGGCGAAUGCAACUGCUGAAAUUAUAUGGGUUGAGUCACUUCUUGAUGAGUUGGGAGUUAAGAAAAAUCGUAUCUCGUGCUUAUGGUGUGAUAAUUUGGGAGCAACAUAUUUGUCUGCAAAUCCAGUGUUUCAUGCAAGGACAAAACACAUAGAGAUUGAUUUUCACUUUGUGCGAGAAAGAGUUGCAGCAAAGAAACUUGAGAUACAGUUUAUUCCUUCCAAGGACCAAAUAGCAGAUGGCUUCACAAAGGCACUUUUAGCAAGGCCAUUCGAAGAGUUCAAGAGUAAUCUUAAUUUAGGAUAG